GAAAGAACAGUCAGAUUGUUGUCUGGAGCCUUUGUCACAUCUUCAGAGAAAUCAAGUGAAUUCACCACCUACGUUGAAAACAGCUGAACCUGUUGUCUUCAACUACCAAGGAUUCAUCGUGGUUCUCUCAGAACACUGUAUCCUCCCAGGAAUUCAUUUGAAAUAGCACCAGAUGAUCAUCAGCAGCUUUUCCAGAAAGUGACUACAGCCACAGAAACACCUUGGUCCCAAAUCAGCAACAACCCUGGGUCUUUAUCCAGAGUCCAGGAUGCUGCAGAAUCUACAACAUCGUCUAACCAGCUGCAGACAGACCGGUCCAGCUGCCAGACUCCCUCUCUAUCCUGUCCUCUGCCUUGCUUUGUCGUAUUGAACUUGAAUCAACAGAAUGUCAAACUCAUGUCUCGUCUUUAUCGAGACACAGAAUGUUAAGUUAUCUGCAUGUUGAAGUUUGUGUGCAGACCAUUGUCAGACCAAAAUGUCAAAACCUAUUCAUAUUCAAAUGCAUGUUAGUAGUUCAUAGUCUCUCUAUAAUGCACUAAUGUUUACAGGGAUUGAGAAGUGAGGAAUCUGAUACAAAGAUAAAUGACUUGCUGUUAAGGAGUGGUGUUUACAGCCAUGGUGUUUACUCACCAUGGCUGUUUUAUAAACGUUGGUCUAAAUCUGUGAUUCUCUUAUGCUGCCUCUUUAGAAGCCUCCAGUCCCAUGCAAACUGUUUGCACUUAAAUCAAGCAGCCAUAUUAAACAGUCAUGUAGACAAGAAUGUAUAAAAUGGUAUCACAUGUAAAUGCUACCUCAAAUGUAAACUUACGUAAAGGCACUGAGACAGUAGUUUUAUCCCACCUCUGCCAGUGCACCUUCACUCAGCAACUAUUUCCCUCUUUUUGCUUUGCGAGUGGUAUUCUUUGAUUUACAGUCAGACUCCAGACUCUUCAUGAUCUCCAGGGGCUUCAGCUCGAAAACACUCCCUACGUUUAUUCAGUUCAGGACUGCACCACCAGGGAGGAAAGGACCCGGGACCUGCUGUGUGCCAUAAAGAGGCAGACUCUACCUCACACAUGUGAGGUAAGAUUUUUUUUCUGUUCACUUGCUUUACUGUGUAUCACUAGUUUUUACUUUUACUUUCCU